UACAGUUGAUUCCCGACUCUGGCUGGCGGCGGGUGUGCUCGUAUGUGCUCUCCUUGGGGCAUGGGUCUGGUGAGCCAUGGAUGGAUAUAAAAUUACCAGCAGUUGGGUGAUGGCCAGAAAAUCCUGGCUAAUGAUAUUACUAUGGAUGGCUGUUUCUCCUUCAUCAGCAGACACAGGGUUCUUGGAGUCUAUAGAAGUGCAACCAGACCCCACUGAGUCUCCCUCCUCAGGUAAGUCUUAAUAACUUUGCAAUUAAUCUUGAUUGCAGGUAGCAGGCAUUUACGAGCUCUUUGUUGCUCGUUAACAACUUUGUUGCUGGCUUUUUAAUAAACUUCCCCACUCCCCUCCCCUUCUUCCUCCCUCCCACCCUCCCUCCCGGUAGUGCUUGUUUAGGGUCGAGAACUGUUGGUUGAAAGUUUAACAGCUCAUGAUAGGAGUUCUGAUAACAGGUUAGACCUAUAGUGUUGCAAUCUAGAAGGGGCAGGAAAACACUUUACACAACAUGAGUUAAUUGAAAUAUUGUUUUAAAUUUGUAUGGUUUUGUUUCUGUUGUCAGCAAAGUGAAGACUCUUGCCGUUGACCAGGUUUUGGCUGAAAUAUAAAUUUUAGGUUAAGAACGGGAGUUAAUGAAUUCUAAUUAAAAUCGCGGCAUUUUCCAGAAUUAAGCGUUUCAGCACUGGACUAAGUCAUGCAAGAGUAUCUCUUUUGAAUGAACGUCGACACAGAUAUAGACCUAGUGGGCGACUCGAUUCUCAUGAGUGAGUUUCAUGAAUUCUCAGUCAUUUAUGAAUGAUUUUCAUUCUCAUCUUUCGUAUAUCAUGGGAAUAGUGCUAGGGAAUUUCCCGCAAGGAUUCGGAUUGGGGGGGAGGGGGGUCGUGGGAAGAGCAUGCAAAGAUUAGGACUGGAAGGAGGCGCACGUGAUGUUGAAAUUGCAAACUCGCGCCGGGGGGGAGGGGGUGCAUGUGGAUAGUCACCUAGGGAGAUUGAUGUACGCGGCUAGGCGGUAAAGGGGGGCUGCGCGUGAUGGGGUCUUCUCAUGACUCCAAAUUAUGGGGGAGAAGGAUGAGGUCUCGAUGGGGAGUGGGCCUGCGAAGAGGAUGAUAGGAGGCAAUUAUGUGUCGCCUAUUAGGGAAAUAAAUGAGGAUAGAGGAGGGAAUUUCUAAGUUGGUGAAGUGGAAUUGGGAUCACUCCAGGUGGAAAAUAAAUUAGGAUUAAGGCGAGGAUAGAGAAGGAUAGUCCCUGGACAGGGAAGGAGAUGGAGACCCUACAGGUGAGGAUCAAACCGAGCAUAGAAGAGGCUGGCGGGGUCCCUCGUAGAGAAAGAAAUGGAAAUGGGGACGAGGGCAAAGGUGAGGAUCAGGGUAGAGGGGAAAGUCUGUAGAUAGGCGAGAGA
rnacentral:lncRNA from 1 species